CCCAUAAACACAUUUCAACCCUCCACCAAUACUGAAUGAUACUAUAACUAUAUAGUACACCUUCUGUUAAAACUAGUAACAAGAAAUUGACUUUCUCCUAAAUAUAAACUUAAACCAACUUUGACCCUCUACUGGUACUUAACGCAAAUGACCUAAUUAUAGUAACCCUCUCCCCCGCAAACCCUAUCAGCCCUCAGCGUUACCCUAACACUAGAAUAUUUUAGGAAAGAUUAAAAGAAAAGGAAGGAACUCGGCAAAUACUAGCCCCGCCUGUUUACCAAAAACAUCGCCUCCUGCUAACCCAUAGGAGGCCCAGCCUGCCCAGUGACAAAGUUUAACGGCCUCGGUACCCUAACCGCGCGAAGGUAGCAUAAUCACUUGUUCUUUAAAUAGGGACUAGUAUCAAUGGCAUCACGAGGGCUAGACUGUCUCCCCUUUCUAAUCAGUGAACCUGACUUCUUCGUGAAGAGGCGAAGAUAGAUAUAUAAGACGAGAAGACCCCAUGGAGCUUAAAACCAAACAACACUCUUUUGCAUGCAGACCCUAAAAAAUAAAAGACCUGUUGACCAGUUUUUGGCUGGGGCAUCCGAGGAGUACAACACAACCUCCCUGACGAACAUCUAAGAAUUACAACUCCAAGAAACAGCAAACUGACGUAAUAUGACCCGACAAUCGAUCAACGAACCAAGUUACCCUGGGGAUAACAGCGCAAUCCAUUUCAAGAGCCCCUAUCGACAAAUGGGUUUACGACCUCGAUGUUGGAUCAGGGUACCCCAGUGGUGCAGCCGCUACUAAAG
rnacentral:rRNA from 1 species